AUGCUGAAGAAUAAAUGAAAAAACAAGUAUUUCCAGUGUGUUACUAUCUGUCCCUUAUAAAGCACUCCCAUGUGCUUCUGUAGAAGGACUGAAAACCUCAGGGAGAUGGAGAAGCAAACUUUCAAACGUAGAAUGAUGAGAAUGAUACUGAUACGAGUGAUGGAUUUUCUCCCAGUUUUAAGUUUGGAUAAUGUCUUCUUUAUAUAUAGAGGUACCUAUACGUAUAUGGUACCUGCGGAAUUUUGGACUCUUCUGGGAAACGGUGAAAUUGAGGGGAGUUCCCCAGUCCUGCUCAUCUUUGCAAGCAAGCUGUGCUCCAGCUCUCUGUGGAAUCCAUCAGACAGAGGAGGAGGGAGGCAUUGGGGUCUGAUUUGUCCCUCCCUUUUUGCCAUCAUUAAGGAGGUGCAAUCUGCCACAGAAGGACUGUCAUCCCCGUCCCAAUACUUGUUCUUUAAGCUUACAUGAAGAUGGAUGAAACAUUUCUUAAAAGGUGGGGUAAUUUAGCUUCCAUCCUCCUUAAAUACAGUUCCUCUGAAAACGAAGUCCCUGCUGUCUUCCAGUGGAUUACUGGUACCAGUGAAUGGCACCAGCUCAUUGAUAAGCUUAGGGAGCACAUAUCAGACAAACGAUGAAGCAAAGCAGAUUUCCUGUGAUUUUUGUUGAAAUGCUUCAAUUCUGAUCGUAGAUCUUCACUUAGUGUGGACUUCUCUUCUAGUGAGGCAAGAUACGCAGCUUUAUUUCCUGGCGACACGUCUCUUUGAUUUUGCCACCGAGUGACCCCCAAAGAGAAUACAGGAUUUACAAACGAGGUUUCUGGCAUGUUGUCCUAUACUUCCUUGUCCUCUCACAGCUCCAAACGCCUCUUAAAAUAGCUUCGCCAGUGGCUCCCCAACACCUCCCAGGAGCACAUCACAUUCCAGUGUAAGUGACAGGGGUCUGAGAGAGCAUUCUGUCACCUCACUGUGAGUUUCUCUGGACCGUGAAAUGCCCAGUGUCCCAGACAAGUCCAGGUCCUCAAGUCACCACCAACUGCUUCUCCUUGCCACUCCUCUGACAUCAAAUAAAGAAAAAAAAAGACAACCACACAAAAAAUGGGCAUUUCAUUUUGAAAACAUUUGUGGUGACACCGAUUACGCUUACAGUUAGGACUUAGGAGAGAUGACAAAAAAAUACAGCUUUGCGACUUGUCUUUUCUUUCUUACUCUAAAAAUACUCCACGGGGGCGCCUGGGUGGCUCAGUUGGUUAAGCAUCCGACUUCGGCUCAGGUCUUGAUCUUGCAGUUCAUGAGUUCGAGCCCCACGUCAGGCACUGGGCUGACAGCUCGGAGCCUGGAGCCUGCUUUGGAUUCUGUGUCUCCCUCUCUCUCUGCCCCUCCCCUGCUCAUGCUCUCUCUCUCUCUCUCUCUCUCAAAAAUAAAAAAAUAAAAAAAAAUAAUGUACAGAUUGACAUUACCAUUCACACAACAGACAGUAAAACUUUCAAGUUUCUUAUACAACAAAACAACUAAAAACUAUUUACAAUAUAAAACUAUCUAUAUCUACAUCUAUAUCUAUAUCUAUAUCUAUAUCUAUAUCUAUAUCCUAUCCAACAAGAAAAUGUUCCCAUUCUAAAGAUAAAAGACUCCCAUUUUGAAGUUUUAAAGACUUCAAAAUAUAGAACAUUCCAUUAGAUUCUUAUUCAGAGAUACCUCAGUGGAAUCUCUUUGUCUCCCAUAGAAAUAUUUUCACAGCAAUUUUAAACAUAGAAGGGUAUAAAUAUCCCAGCUUUCCCAUAACUUUCUAGAAUUCUACAGAGUAAACAGCCCUAUGUUCAGGCAAUGAAUUUCUUCGACUAAUCCUUCUGCUUUAAAAAAUAUACUACUUACAGGUCUUUCCUGCUUGUGUCUAUCUCAAAUUAAAAUUGGAAGUGAAAUUUUCUCAAAGUUUAAAAAAGGAUGUUCUAGCCCUAUCCAAAGUACUGUGCUUCCUGUUCCUGAACACCAGAGGGCAUCAUUCAGUGAAAGCCAGGAUUUGGGAGAGAGGGAAAGACAAGGAAUUCCACUGCUAAUGAAAGAAACUGAUUUUUUAGUGUGUACCCUUAUCUACCAUGAAGCAUUACCAUGGUAACAGCACCAGUUAAGAUGAUUGUAUAUUUAGGUCACAGUAUAAAAGAAGGAGCUUGAACAUGAAGGGGGGGGGGGGG